rnacentral:rRNA from 1 species
CAAUAGCGUAUAUUUAAGUUGUUGCAGUUAAAAAGCUCGUAGUUGGAUUUCGGGUGGGACGCAGCGGUCUCGCAUUGCGUUUGUACUGCUGCAGCCCUCCUUCUUGCCGGGGGCGGCCUCUCGGACUUCACUGUCUGGGGGUCAGAAUCGGCGAUGUUACUUUGAGUAAAUUAGAGUGCUCAAAGCAAGCUUACGCUCUGAAUAUAAUAGCAUGGGAUAACACGACAGGACUCUGGCCUAUCGUGUUGGUCUAUAGGACCAGAGUAAUGAUUAAGAGGGACAGUCGGGGGCAUUCGUAUUCCGUUGUCAGAGGUGAAAUUCUUGGAUUUACGGAAGACGAACAUCUGCGAAAGCAUUUGCCAAGGAUGUUUNCAUUGA